GCCCGGAUGGUUCAGUUGGUUGAGCAUCUGACUCUUGAUCUCACAGUUUGUGGGAUCGAGUCCCACAUCAGGCU
rnacentral:tRNA from 1 species